UUUUCACUCUCUCUCUCACCCCCCUCUUUGCCUCUCUGUUACCCACUUCAUUUUUUACCAAAGAAAAUAAAAACUGCUCUAGAUCUUUGCUUGUAGAACCUAUGCAGCAAAAUUUGGAACAUGAGUGAACUUCUGAUUUCAAUGCAAUUUCUGUCUUUUAUUAUUUCUUAUUUCAUACAUUUACCAUUGUUUUGCAGAAUUACCUUUGUACCUG
rnacentral:misc_RNA from 1 species